UACGGAGGGAGCUAGCGUUGUUCGGAAUUACUGGGCGUAAAGCGCACGUAGGCGGCGAUUCAAGUCAGAGGUGAAAGCCCGGGGCUCAACCCCGGAACUGCCUUUGAAACUAGAUUGCUAGAAUCCUGGAGAGGUGAGUGGAAUUCCGAGUGUAGAGGUGAAAUUCGUAGAUAUUCGGAAGAACACCAGUGGCGAAGGCGACUCACUGGACAUGUAUUGACGCUGAGGUGCGAAAGCGUGGGGAGCAAACAGG
rnacentral:rRNA from 1 species